rnacentral:rRNA from 1 species
CAGUCGCCACGGGAAUGCGUAGGUGGCAAGCGUUAUCCGGAAUUAUUGGGCGUAAAGCGCGCGUAGGCGGUUUUUUAAGUCUGAUGUGAAAGCCCCCGGCUCAACCGGGGAGGGUCAUUGGAAACUGGGAAACUUGAGUGCAGAAGAGGAGAGUGGAAUUCCACGUGUAGCGGUGAAAUGCGUAGAGAUGUGGAGGAACACCAGUGGCGAAGGCGACUCUCUGGUCUGUAACUGACGCUGAUGAGCGAAAGCGUGGGGAGCGAACAGGACUAGAUACCCCCGUAGUCCCUGUCUCUUAUAA